GGGAGGUGUGAUGAUGAUUAUCCAUUGAAUCAUCCUGAAUAAUCAUAUUCUGAUGACUAAUUAUCAAUCAAAAUUACAUGCACUACCAUCUGAUCUCUC